AUGAUGGUUUGGUUGCUUUUCAUUAUAGUUCGUCUGUGACUUUUUGUCUGUAAUCAAAAAGCUCUAUAAUCUAUAUGGUGGUUUUACCCACUACAGAAAUUAUAGAGCC
rnacentral:ncRNA from 1 species